CUCAUGACAGAGCAAGAACACCUGGCUAGGUGUGACUCUCAGCCCUCCUUGGGGAAUAUCUCUUUGGUUUGGCAAUCCUUCUGACUCUUAGGGAGAGAACUCAUCUUGGUUGUUGAAGGCAUCGUGUAGAGCUCUCUGCUUGCCCCGUGGGAAGAAAUAGGAGUUAAGAAGAAUCCCAGUGCUUCCCUCCUUCCUGCCUUUAAGUGCCUUUAUGAUUUUCCGUUCUCCUCUGCUGGGCCUGUGAGAGAAGGGAUGCAAGGAGAUGCGAGUCUCACCGUUCUGACUGGGAGAAGAUCAGAAUGAACUGGUUUGUCUCCAAGGUGGACAGCCAUGCAGGAUUAGAUGUUACCUUGUGCCCACCAAGACAGCGAGAAUGUGGAGUGUGCUGAAUUCCAGGCGGAGAGAUCUGCAGGGAUUCUGGAGGGGAAAUCUGCCAAUCAGUAUCUAUCCCGUGGAAUUCAUUGUUUGAAAAUAUUACUGAGGCCAAGAGCUUUGGAAGAUAUUACCCUCACAUUUUCCAUACAGGAGCAAUAAAAAUAUCAUCCACCCCUACACCAGAUGGGAUAAAAACCUGCAAGGGAUAUAAAUCUUCAGCUUUCAUGACAAUAAUUGCUGUGAGCUAGACGAGGAAGCCUGUUGCAUAACUGUCCACCAUGAGGGUUUUUCUACCUCCCAUGUAGCAUGCAGGGCUGGCUACCAGCAGAGGUGGGCUGCUGUAAGUGACACAGUCUUCUCCUCUCCCCAUGAACAUCUUUUUAUCUGGAGCAUGUCCUUCAGCUGUCCUGCUACGGAUCCUUGAAGUAGGGAAGCACCUAUGGGACAGACCCCUACCCUGGGCGGUCUCAACAGAGAAGGCUGUAUUUGGCAUGCUGGCAUUUUACUGGCGAGCUGGCUGAAAUGCGACACGCCUCUGGCCUUGGGAGAUAUGAAGGCUGGCAUUCAUGUGACUCCAUGCAGCAGCAAGCUCCUGGGGUACGAGUCAGUAGCAGAGAAGAUGCUCAUCUGCUGCAGACAUUGGUAUUUCUCUCAAGACAGAGAUUUUCAGGUGAAUUACUGCCCCUGUGAGAAGACACAAUUAGUGAGAAUGGGGCAGUUCCCUUAGGCAGCUCAUGAGUUGGUUUGGAGAGGAGGACUGAAAGUCCAGACUUGGCCCAAAGUUGGGUACAGAGAAGGUGAGGAGAACCAAAGGGUCUGGCGUUUGAAGUACACAGCCAACCCGGAGUUAGGGAAAUGACUUUGGCUACGUUAAAAUUUGAACCCAGUGGGGAAGGGGUGUUGUCUCCUUGCCAAAAGAUGCGCUCUUGCUAUUCAUGUGUGGCGUGGUUAGGUGCCAGGCAAGAAUGGGACUCCACUGCUCUAGGCAAUGUUCACACAGAGCAGGAGGUAUGAAGCCAACAGUUGUGGCUAUUUCAGUGAUGAAAAACCAAGGGAAUGCCAAGGCUGUGGAUUGUCCUAACAUCCUGAGAAACUGAGCCGAUGAUGUAAGAUCUCAGCCCUCACCUGCUGUCAUUCAGGGAGCGACCUUCAGCUUUUCCAUGGGAAGAGAAAUUCUGAAAGUCAAUUCAAUUAUUUUUGGAAUUUUCAUGCAAAGUAGAUUUUCAAAUGAUUUCCAGUUGGAGAUUUUGGAUUUCGUGGUUUGUAGUUCAUUUACAGAAUUCAAGAAUUUCAAACCAUCAGCUGGCAAUACUAAUUCAUGCCCUUUUUGUGUUUUAUCAUAAUUACAGUCUGUUUUAGAAUAAAGUGUCAUGCUUAA